rnacentral:ncRNA from 1 species
ACAAUGAUACUUCCGUCCAGCCACAGACAUCGCAAUGGGGGCGGCUCCGUAAGAUCUGCGGAGAGGGGUAAUGCC